GGGGCACCAACCAAUAGGCUUGUAGCCUGGGUGGGAUAAAAGUCCAGAAGGCUCACCACUUCCUGCUUCCUGCCUGCCAUGCCAUGGACUGUUUCUCCUCUGUGAUGCCCCUCUGCGGUGCCCCUCUGUGAUGCCACCCAGCCGACUAUGGAGUGAAACCUCUACCAGCUGCGAGCCGCAAUGGACCUUUCCUCCUUUAACUUAUGUGAAGCCGUUCAGAGAGGCAGAGAGACUCCUGCAUGGACACCUAGCAGAGCUGGGAUCUGCAGCAGUCGGCAUGACUUUGGGAUUCCAAUAGUGGUCGGUGUGGGAACAGAAGCUCCCAAGUAGAUGCAUCUUCCUUACUAAACAGCUCUACAAGGACGGAGACAUCUCUGCAGCUUUUGUCCCAGCUCGAGAACAGUGCCAGGUGUUUGCUGAAUGAAUGCAUGAACUGUGUCCGAUGGGUACCAAGUUCUGCAUCAGCAACUCUCCGUGUGUAACUGUUUCACCUUGUCAUCGACUCUGUGGCACGGGCAUUAUUAACCCUGGCUAGGAGGGACAGCAAGGAAGGAAAAGCGUGGCAGAAUCACUAAUUUCAGGUCUUUACUGAGCACCGUUGCACCUCUCUGGCCAUCACUUUGGAAAAGACCAGGACAGCCCCACGCCUGCCUGCCAACCACAGCGUCCUUUCUUCCAAGACUCAGCGAAGCCUGUGUCCCGGGAACUCUCCUGACUCGUCCUUGUCUAUGCUGCUCAGUCUCACUCUGGUGGCUGCCCUGGGACUGUACCACAUCCCAUCAGAUUUGGGGCUCCCUUUUGGUUGGCAAUUCCAAAAACUGCUGCAGGAGUAAUGUCUGGCCUUGUCAUAUUCGAAGGAACUGUUUUUCCCAAUUCUUUUGUGUCCCUCACCAGCCUGUGAACGCCUGCAUUGUCUUCCUGUCCCUCCACCCACGCAGCAGGCCUCCUUAGAGCACCUCACAGCCUCGAUAUGGGGUGGGGGCAGGAUGCUCCUGGGGAGACAGGACUAAGAGAUGUCAGAGGGCGGGGGCACACUUGCCCGCAAUCCCAGCCACUCAGGAGGCUGGAGCAGGAGGACCAUGCGUCUGAGGCCAGCCUGGGCCACUUAGUGAGACUGUC
rnacentral:lncRNA from 1 species